AUUUUGUCUGCGUCCACAAGGAAGGGAACGCUAGUUUUGCUCAUUCAUUCCAUUGAAGCUCUCGGAAACACAUCACUUAUGUGACUAUUGCUCCUCAUUUCAGUAAAUAUUCCACUGAAGCUCUCCCUGAGGAAACACAACAUCACUUUUGUGAUUAUUGCUCCUCAUUUCAGGGCUGACACAAAUCCUUCGCCACACACUGGCAUUGUGGACGCCUGGUGCAAAUGAAGCUGGAAGAUGUCUGUCUAAUUGCUUGUGGUUACGCGUGCGGCGGGAUUACUGGUAAACAGAAACCAAUUUACAGCUCACGUCCACCCCCACUGCCUGCCCACUUAAAAUCACAAGUCUCUGGUCAUGUAAGAACUUUCUAUCAACACUUCCACAUUUCUUUCCAAUAACAACAAGUGAGGUUGCAGCUCUCGUAAUAUGCUCUAUUUGUGACUCUGGUGUGGUGCCGGAAGUGGCGCAUUCCCUGUCACCUCAGGUCUCAUUAUAAUACACUGGUGUGACUCCUUGUUUCACUCCCACUCUUUUCCUGUCAAUACUAAUGCAGUCUCCCGCAGCGGAAACAUAAGACCCGAUGUAAAGUACAAAACUGUGGUGGAUGGCAGGAUGUUUCUGAUGCAUGCUCAUUCAGACAUUUGAUUUGACAUUCCUUGCCAGAAACAAUGUUUUAAACAGUCACUUUUUGAGACUCACAUUAGACAUUAGACAUUAGACAAACUUUAAUGAUCCACAAGGGAAAUUGUUCCACACUGUAGCUCAAUUACAAAGGAUGGAAAGUGUAAAGAUGCAAAGGAUAAUGCAGGUAAAGGUAUACUAAAAAUGUACCGUAGUACCGUAUUUUUCGGAUUAUAAGUCGCUGUUUUUUUCAUAGUUUGGCCGUGGGUGCGACAUAUACUCCGGAGCGACUUAUGUGUGAAAUUAUUAACACAUUACCGUAAAAUAUCAAAUAAUAUUAUUUAUCUAAUUCACGGAAGAGACGAAGCAAAAUGUCAGCAAUCGUCACACACACGUCAACCAAUAAGAAUUUGGCGGGGGAGGGUCAUGGCAGAAGUGCAUUGUGGGUCAUGGGAUGCUAACGGCUAUAUGCUAUAUGCUACUGCCUUAGCUAUUAAAAUGGAUCAUUUCUACAUUGGCGGUAACUUAUAAAAACUGAACAAAAAGGGCACUGAAAAGGUAAUCAUAUACUACAGAUUACAAGCUGGACGUAGUGAAAUAUGCAGCAGAAAACUAAACGGCGAUCGAGCAGCAGAAAGAAAGGACGCUAGCGGCGCAUACCAGAGGCGACACCGAGGAGGAAGAUUUCAUCGGAUUUAGCGAUCGGGAGUGACAGAUUGUUUGGUAAACGUAUAGCAUGUUUUAUGUGUUAUAGUUAUUUGACUGACUUUUGCCAUGAUGUGUUGCGUUAACAUACCAGGCACGUUCUCAGUUGGUUAUUUAUAUAUUUAUAUGGCGUACACUUAUUCAGCCUGUUGUUCACUAUUCUUUAUUUAUUUUAAAUUGCCUUUCAAAUGUCUAUUCUUGGUGUUGGAUUUUAUCAAAUAAAUUUCCCCCAAAAAUGCGACUUAUACUCGAGUGCGACAUAUAUAUGUUUUUUUCCUUCUUUAUUGUGCAUUUUCGGCCGGUGCGACGUAUACUCCGGAACGAUUGUAGCUGAGAUAGGCUCCAGCGCCCCCCGCGACCCCGAAGGGAAUAAGCGGUAGAAAAUGGAUGGAUGGAUGGAUGGACUUAUAGUCCGAAAAAUAUGGCAGCAAUAUAAAAUAUAACAUAUAUG